rnacentral:rRNA from 1 species
GACGAACGCUGGCGGCGUGCUUAACACAUGCAAGUCGAACGGUAAGGCCCUUCGGGGUACACGAGUGGCGAACGGGUGAGUAACACGUGGGUGAUCUGCCCUGCACUUCGGGAUAAGCCUGGGAAACUGGGUCUAAUACCGGAUAGGACCACUGCCUGCAUGGGUGGUGGUGGAAAGCUUUUGCGGUGUGGGAUGGGCCCGCGGCCUAUCAGCUUGUUGGUGGGGUGAUGGCCUACCAAGGCGACGACGGGUAGCCGGCCUGAGAGGGUGACCGGGCACAGUGGGACGGAGAUACGGCCCAGACUCCUACGGGAGGCAGCAGUGGGGAAUAUUGCACAAUGGGCGCAAGCCUGAUGCAGCGACGCCGCGUGAGGGAUGACGGCCUUCGGGUUGUAAGCCUCUUUCAGCACCGACGAAGCGCAAGUGACGGUAGGUGCAGAAGAAGGACCGGCCAACUACGUGCCAGCAGCCGCCGUAA